UACGUAGGGGGCUAGCGUUGUCCGGAAUCAUUGGGCGUAAAGAGCGCGCAGGCGGUCGUACAAGUCGCGUGUGAAAGCCCCUGGCUCAACUGGGGAGGGUCACGCGAUACUGUUCGACUCGAAGGCAGGAGAGGGAAGUGGAAUUCCCGGUGUAGUGGUGAAAUGCGUAGAUAUCGGGAGGAACACCAGUGGCGAAGGCGACUUCCUGGCCUGUUCUUGACGCUGAGGCGCGAAAGCUAGGGUAGCAAACGGG
rnacentral:rRNA from 1 species